rnacentral:tRNA from 1 species
GCAGUGCGUGGCCGAAUGGUUGCGCUGUCCGCUCAGUAAGCGGAAGAUCAUGGGUUCGAUUACCAUCUGCUCCA